CGUCGAUAAUUCAAAUUUCGUUUUUAAACGAACCGGGGGAUUACGGGGAUUACAGGGGAAAAUAUAUUCUAUAAUAAUAUUAUACCGAGUGAAAAAUAUCAUAUUAUACGAUUGUAUGCGUAUUAUGCGUGGGUGCAGCGGCUAAGUAUAGGUAUAUUACAAUAUUCGGGGUAGGUAUGUAAAAGUAUAUGCUGCUCAGUGUAGAAAUCUCACUGGAGAAAUACGCAAUCUAUAUAGACUCUAUAUAAUAUCAUUUUAUUAGAGAUAGUUCAAAUAUUUACCAUCUUUACCGGUAAAGACUUAAUCGGUAUCUAUCAGAUGAUUCCGGAGCAAAACAUGUUCUAUUUUUAUUGUCUAGAUGAAUUAUUUCACUUGUCUGCGUUUCGGCAACGCUGUUGCUGCGUUAUGACUGUUCGCGAACGAAGAAAAUGAUUUUAAUAUUAUUGUUAAUAUUCCCCAGGACUGAGAAACCGUCCGAUUCGUUUUAUUAUUUUUUUUACUACACUAAAAUCACCGUCUCCACCGUCGCUGUCGCCGCCUUCGCCGGUAUUACGAUAUACUCUGGGGGAAAAAAAAAACAAAACGAUAUCGCGGCAUCCGCGCACACGAAUUAACUACGUAGGGGACUGAAAACGAAAACCCGCCGCCGCCGACUAAGUCUCGUCCGUUUUCGCUCUACGUAUGGAAUACAUACUGUUU